rnacentral:lncRNA from 10 species
GGCCCGGGGCGGACGGGCGGGGCCUGCAGGGUUCUGCGCGCUGGGGCCGGCGUGGCGCGGCCACUGCUCCGGAGCUGCAGGCUUCUAGGCGCUGGGAGGGCGAAGCAGGAGAGCCGGUUAGUCCAUCCCCGCGCUCCGCAAACUUUUCUAACCGGGUAACAAAGUGAGCAGCGGUGGCCGCCGCGAUUCCUUUAACUUCGCAUUCCGGAGGCUCGAGGGGGCUCUGGGACCGAGCGGCCUCGCAGCGGCGACAGAAAUACAUAUUUUACGAAAAAGAAAAAAAAAAAAACGAGUCGCGCGAACCCGUCAAGUCAGAUGUGCGCGGCUUGAAGCGGAGGAGGCUCUGACGUCAGCCCCACCUCGCGCAGCCCGGCCUGGCCGCAGACUCGCCGGUCACUCGCCGGCGGCUCAGGCCGGGAGGGGCCAGGACAGUCCCGGCCGCGCGGUGGACGGAGGGGCCAUUCCUCCGGGCGUUAGCAAAUAAAUUCCAUCCGAGUCAAUAUCGCCCAGCGAACGGUGUUUCUCUUUAGUCACCCGAGAACGAGAGGCACUUUUAAUUAGAAAUUAAUUAAUGAGCAGCUGCUCCUUCCCGCCCCACUGUAAUCAUUCGUCUCAAUUACAAAUGAGACCUAUGAAAGGACACGCUGAAGAUGUAAUCAACAGUUAAAAUUAGCCCGGCGCUGCGCAGGCGGCCGGCCCGGCCUCGCGCUGGCGCGCUCUGCUCCGAGUGGCAGGAAGGGGCUCGCAGGCGCCCCGCACGCGUCUCGUCACUAUUGUUUAAUCGAGAAUCAGCAACGCCUCCCGCCGGUUUCCACCCUACGCCGGAAUGGACUUUCAGAACCCACUGCGGCCGCAAGACAGCCCGCAAGAGCUGGUCAAAAUGCCCUCAGAUGAAAAUACGAGUUCUCCGAUCGCGUUGGACCGGAGCGGGCCACGUCCGAGCUGCUUGCAGAGGGAAACCAUCGGAAAUAAUGAAUAGCCGCUCCAUGCAAAUUAUUCAGACAGUUUAGCGUCGGUAGCCGCGAGAAAUAUAUAAAGAACACGAGUCAAAUGACAUUAAUAAU